UGGCGGCCGGCGGGGCCCCCGCGUUGCUGCGGCUGCGCCGGGGCUGGAGGAGCUGGAGAUUGCGCGGACAUCAAGCUACCAUCUGUGCCUGGUAAAAACCUCUUCCAUGGGUAUGUCAGAGUUAUACAAACGUUGUUAUCCUAAUACCCAUUCAUGGUGGUUUAUAACUCCCUUUAGAAUCAUAGAAACAUCCAGGUUGAAAAGACCUCUGACAUCACCAAGUCCAACCCCAGCUCAUCCCCACUGUGCCCACUGAACCACAUCCUUCAUUGCUACAUCUCCACAUUAUUGAACACCUCCAGGGACAGUGACCCCACGAGGUACCCAUUCCAGUGCCUGACCACUCUGAGAAGACAUUUUUCCUAAUAUCCAGUGCCAGUCUCUGUGAAAUAGGAAGCAUCUUAACAUGCUGACCAUCUCUCAGCCCUCUGCGCAUUUUAUAAACUGAUAAAUGAAGGAAUAACUUCAUCCCAUCGAUGGAAUCAAACACAGCCACCAAUUUUUUUUCAGUUAACAAAUGGAAUAAAGCUGUAAAUGGCCUCCGAGGGCAGGUGCUUAUGACCACACUGCAUCCAUCUGAAGGUGGAAGAAUAUGGAAAGUGUGGUAAGAAGAACUGCAGAGCCAGCUGAGUCAAUUGGCAUGCGUGUCAGGUCAGCUCAGGAUCAAAUGUCCACUCUGCAGAGUCACACUCCAUUUGUUGCCUCUGCAGUGCCCCUGCAUUUCUUUGGGAGCUUUGCAGCCACAUGCACACUCUCACAGCAUGUUGUGGGGGAAAAAAAAAAACAACAAAAAACACCUCUGCUUUUUGCACAAAUGCUGAUAAACUCAGGGACUCUGAGUUUGAGAUGCUCUAGGUUUCUGUUAUUGGUCAUCUGUGAGUUCAAGUGUGGGCCAAAUGGUAACUUAUGUCAGUUGCCCCUGGUGGGGUUUGCUGCUCCUUGAAGCAGGGUGAAGCUUAGCCAGCGCAUUCAGAUGUGUGGAAGCAGCUGAUGUGGACUAAUAGCUAUGGAAUUCCCUUGUGCUAAUCAUCAGCUUUGGAACAAGGCCACAUGCCACCCGAGCAGCGUGGUAUAACCCAAACUUCCACAGGAUGAAGGUCACUUUCUAGUAUAUCACAGGGAGGCAGACUCACUCCAAGCUACCAAGACAUUUUCGUAAUGGUAGGAUGUGAUAACACUGCAAUAGCUUCAGGAGGCUCUGGAAUCUCCCACAGUGGAGGUUUUAAAGACAAGUUAGACAAAUACUGCUCAGGAAUGCCGCAGGUGGAGUUGUUUGUGCCUCAGGGAGAGGGAUGGCUUACACCAAGGUCCCAUCCAACUGCAUUUUUCAGCCACGUGUCACUAACUGGUUUGGAAUAGGCAGAUGAAGCCACGAGCUGUUGAAAGUGCAUGUUUACAAGGCAAUGGCUUGGGCUGGGCCUAACACAUGCCCUUUUUUUUUCCCUACCCCUCUCAAAGAGUUCUUAUCUGAAGACUGCAGAUUGGACCCAAGCCUCUCAAUGGGCAAGGACACGGACAUUCAUUUGGAAUGCACCAGAUAAGUCCUCAAGAGGCAGAAUUUCCCAGAGUAAACAAACUAACUCUUUUUACAGAAUUGAAUGUCAGUGCAUUUCCCCAGGUUUUCACGCUGCCCUUGUGUCAUAGGCUCACACUCCUAUGGGAAAAGAGGUGCCAAAAGGCUAACUGUGAGUUCAAAUGGAUGUUUUGCAAACAGAAGGGUAGGGAACAUAAGUUGCACACCUGUGGGAGUGCCAGGACAUGACAAAUCCAGCAUCUAGAAGGAUGGGGAGAGAUUAGCUGGGCAAAGGCAAACAAUGCAUGGUGGAAAAGGUGAGUUCUGGUGACAGAGUGGGUCCAGAAAAGCUCAGAUGUCCACAUCUUUGGCCUGGAAAGAGAAUGUGGAAGGGAUAAUGUGCCAGAGUAGCCAGUACAGAAAUACAAACCAAACAGCAGCCUCCAGUAAUGGAGGAUGUGGCUGUGGGAGUGCAGCUGUGUCACAAUCAGAAGGUUUGCAAGUGAGAAAAAGUUCUGUGGACUUUUAGGGACCACAAAGGAAGAUUAUGUUUCUAUAAGGGGAUGAGGCACAUGAUGAUUGAGCAGAAGAAACUGAGCAGUUUUUAAACAUUCAAGUCCAAUCAGAAGGGAAAUACUACAGACACAUCUUUUCCCAGAUUAAAAAAAAAAAGAAAAAAAAGCAUCCAUUACUUUCCUUUAACAGAAAUCUUUGCAACAGUUAUUGUCCAGUAAUGUGCAAUAACAUUGAUUUGCAGGGCACAUAAAGAGCCAGACUUGGUUUUCAUUACUCUAGGGAGAAUGUUGAUAGUGCAAUGAGUUUGUUAGAAGUAGUCUUGAUUGGGUUCUGGUUGCUGCAGCUCCUCUGGAGUCAGAUUAGACCAAAGCUGAGUCAGGAUUUGGGGAGAAUUUCUGCAAUAAAAAUCUGUUAUGAUUUGUGCUGCCAUCAAAAUCCACACAGAUGCUGUAAUUCUGGAGAGCUGCUGCUGUUGGAUGGAGGAUUCUUGCAGCAUCACCCAAAGCCUGACCUUUACCCUCAGUUCUCCAGCGUGGUGUGAACAUCUAGGAGCAGCCUGGACUGGGGCUGAAACCACUGUUUUGGUGAUGAUUCCACAACAAAAUGGGGUCUGAAUGUGCAGCAGUACGACUGAUACAUGGCUAGUCUUGGAGACAGCAGCUUUACAGUCAUGGUUCUUCUCUUGCAGCAUCCAGUAACCAGUCUGGCUUUUGGUCUUGCCUUGCAUCAACAUGCCUUUUCAUUUCACUUCCUCUCAUAAUUAGUGAUUAAUUUUUUGUUCUGCUGGUAUCCAGACGAGUGUGAUUCUCUGGUCUCCAUGAAACAGCAGUAAUAGUAACAACUACCUGGAGAAUGGCAUGGAAGAACACAGUUAGGCCUUUCAGUGCCUUUUCCUUCAUGUUCAGCACCAAAUUGCAGCAGAUCUUACAGCCAAAAUAGUUAAUGGAGAGUCAGAGACGAGACGCUACAGAAAGAAGAAAUGCUAUAGGAACUCUGUUGGCAGGAAGACUUUUCUCUCCCAUCCCCACAUUCUGCCCUAAUCUUAUUUUUAAAUACAAGGCGAUUUCCCCUUGGCUGGGCUAGCUGUCUGCACACAAUUACACUUCUCUAUUAUUAGUGAGAGUGAGAAGGGCUGAGUUUACAACUGUGCAGGAGAGAUAAGCUCAAGACGACUGUGUUUCCUCUCCAAGGGGCUGUCGAGCUGUGUUCAACUCUGCAUCUGAGACACUGCUGUCCUGAAAUGGGGAGGAAUUCUUGUCCUCUGAACGGGGAUGCCCAAAAGGAGCAGGCUGGGUGAGUUUCUUCUAAUGGAAGAUUAGACAGAGAAUCUCUCACAUGAUUUUACCUUCUUCAUCCAGGACACUGGAGUCACAGGAGUUUCUGAGCUUUCUGAUACCCAUUUUUAUGUCAGAAUAAUCACAUCCUGAACUCCUUUUACUAAAUGAACUAAAGAAUCUACACAACUAGUCUAAGUGUAGAUACAGAUGCAGACAUUUAUAGGAGAUUAAUGCCACGAGUCUCAGUUUUAUGGCUCUCCCAUAUAGCAACAUGCAAGGAGAAAAACUGCACAUCAGAAGUGCUAAUUGUUACCUUCAACAGCAGUAAAAAACAGACCAAAACAACAAGAAUAGCAGGUUUCAAUAGUGGGACUUGGGUCUGAAAAGAAAAAAAAAAAAAAUUGCACUUUGCACUUGCUUAACUGAAAAAGCUGAAAUGAAGGAAUGUUAGGGGAAAGGAGAUGUAACAAGUGUGAGGAAUCAAAGCAUCUGCACUUAGAAGAAAACAGAGCUGCUCCUUGGACAUUUUCUGAGGGCACACUGUAAUUAACAGUUAUUCCCAAGAUGUCUGUUGUCAAAAGGUGCCAAAAUUCCUCGAUAAGUUAUCUCAGGAGCCAAAACAACAGGUGACAGAAGGACUGUUGCUUUCAAGGACACCACUUCAGGUCACACCAUUCAGAUGAGCUGAGCACCAUGGAAAGCUCGAUAAUUAUUACUGAAUUAAGGCAGUGCCUAGUGCUAAUAAAGUUGCAAUAUGCCCAAAACAAUGCUUGAGCAUUGUUUAUCCUGAAGAACAGAAGCACAGGGAGAGAUUACACAAAAUUAAGAUCACAAGAGGAGGCAAUACUAUCAACAAUAUUAAAAGAAAUAGUAAUUUCAUAAGUAAUUUCAUUUUCUUCCAUUCCUGCAAGUCACGUCAGAAGCUUUAAACCAACUAUGCCUCUCUUUAUCAAGCCCUCUUAUGAAGCAAGGAUGGGAAACUACCAGAAUCCUCAAAAGCAAAUGACAUAGGAAAGGAAUUCUCUCCAUAGGUAAGCAUUACAAAUUUCAAGAAGACCAGCCAACCUACGUAACAUUCUGAACUGCCAUUGGAAAAAACCCACAGAAGCUCUCACAUUCUGUGUAAGCAAGGAGGGAGCCAGAUCGUUCCUGGAAUGCAGUGAGCAAUCCAAGCUUUUGUAACCAUGUAUUCAGUGUGCAAGUGCUUCAUUAUCCAGCAUCAGUCACUUGGUCAAUGAGCAGAUUUAUUUUGCAAACAUUAUAGUCCAACAAAUGAGCAGUUUGCCAUGAAUGUGAAAAUGAAAUGUCAUCUCAGUAUGCGUGGAGGACUCUUCACCAGCUGGUUAUCCUUGUACUUUGCAGAACAGGAACCUUACUGAAUGACACAAAAAAAGGAUCCCCAAGAGAUGUACGACCUAUUGGAAUCACCCUGAGAGAAAGAAAAGUGCCAGUUACAACGAGAAGACGGUUUGGACUCCUGAAUUCACUGAAUACCUCCAGAAAACCACCAAUAACUGGGUGACACACUAGGAUGCAACAAAAACACCCCAGCAUCUGGAAUGGAGAGCUUCAAUACUUGCAAACGUUGUGGCACCCAGACAGCACAUCUCAGAGAGCAACCACUGCUCAGGAAGAAGAGCCUGCCACAGUAUUCAACUUGUACAUGUUGUGAUGAAACAGAGAUAUCUGUUAUACAGCAGCAAUGGAGUCUCCCAUGAAGCUGCAUCCAUUCGAGCUGGACUGUUUCUCAGAAGUCAGCAGCAGUUGGUGGAUGUUUGAAGCACCGUAUUCAAGUAGAGAAUCAACCAAUUUUAAAAUCCAAACUGUUAUUUCAAGGUGUCUGCUGGUCUUCAUUAACCACAGGGCAGC